GACGAACGCUGGCGGCGUGCCUAAUACAUGCAAGUUGAGCGCUGAAGGUUGGUACUUGUACCAACUGGAUGAGCAGCGCACGGGUGAGUAACGCGUGGGGAAUCUGCCUUUGAGCGGGGGACAACAUUUGGAAACGAAUGCUAAUACCGCAUAAAAACUUUAAACACAAGUUUUAAGUUUGAAAGAUGCAAUUGCAUCACUCAAAGAUGAUCCCGCGUUGUAUUAGCUAGUUGGUGAGGUAAAGGCUCACCAAGGCGAUGAUACAUAGCCGACCUGAGAGGGUGAUCGGCCACAUUGGGACUGAGACACGGCCCAAACUCCUACGGGAGGCAGCAGUAGGGAAUCUUCGGCAAUGGACGAAAGUCUGACCGAGCAACGCCGCGUGAGUGAAGAAGGGUUUCGGAUCGUAAAACUCGGUUGGUAGAGAAGAACGUUGGUGAGAGUGGAAAGCUCAUCAAGUGACGGUAACUACCCAGAAAGGGACGGCUAACUACGUG
rnacentral:rRNA from 1 species